CUCGAUCAAUGUAAUAUCUUUUCUAUCAAGGAAAUAAUAUUAGAGGUUUGAAUCAAUCCAUAUACUUAACCAUUCAGUUAAACUGUCAAAUAAAAUCUGAUACUCUGUUUGAUUGAUUCGAUUGUGCUGUGAUUGAAGUCAACUAUGCUAUAACUGUCAUGCAUUCUUUUACAUUGACUUCAGAUAUGAUGAAAUAUUAUUCUUGCAUAACCACU
rnacentral:lncRNA from 1 species